CCAAGAACCAAAUUACGAUGUUUCCACUCUCCCUCCCUGACGCAUGCAACGGGGAGAGCUCUUCGUUCUUCUCGUCUCCCCCUCCUCACUCCCUUCUGUUCCAAAACUCCAAGACUUCCUGGCUUCCCAUUUCCGAAGAGUCUCUUUCAGGGCUCUUUUGCAAGCAACCAUGGAUGCCUUUCUUGAUCUCUUUCGCGGGGGUUUUGGCCCAAGAAAUCCUUCUCCCGAGAAGAGAGGAGCGGUUCUUUGAGCCCAUUGCGGUGGCGUCCAGCUGCCAGUCGCCGGACCCUCACUCUACUACCGGCCGAUGAUCGGAAUCGUGACCAAACCCGCGAUGGCGCCCCCUGGAAGCUCAGCAACGCCACCAACGCCUUCAAGAUUCCGCCUCCUACGCCAAAUCCGUCAAAUCCGGUGGCGCGCGGGUCAUCAUCCUCAUCUAUAAUGAACCCUAGGAGGGUCAUUUUGGAUGGAAGCCUUCUUCCUCCUUUUCGAUUCUUUUUCCACCUUUCUUUCUUUCUUUUUUUUUUAAUUGCCUUCUUUCUUGUUUUUUAUUUGUUGGGAAUUUCUUGAUUUCCUGUCAAAUUCUUCUUUCGAGUUCUUUAUGCACACACUAAUGCUUUCUUUAUUAGUUCAUCUAGGGUUUGAAUGGAUUCGAUAAGCUUGGUUUUAUUAUGCUUGUUGGAUUCUUUUUCUUUCUUUCUCAAAUAAGCAUCGAUUGUCGUUUUUUUCUUUCUUUUCUAAGGGGGGUACUUCUUGGUUUCUUGCUUCGCUUUUGCAAGUCUUAUUAAUGUCGACUGCUUUAUAUAGGAGUUAAUUGUAUUCAUGUGAAUCUAUCAUUGUUGUUCUAUCAUUGGUUUCUUUUCUCAAAUUACUUUCGCUUUUGCUUUUAGGAUUGUUGUUCUAUCAUUGGGCAUUGGUGGUGAGAAUCAUAGGGCUGUCAUGAGAAUUUAGCGCACCGACUGAUGACCUGGGAUCUCCGUUCAUUCUGAUAGAAAAUAAUGAUUUAAUUAUGCUUUUUUCAGCUGCUGACUUAUCACCAGGGGACAGUUUUUCGUGUUUCUUCCUUUUGUAGCUACUCCAAGACCUAAGAUCAUCCUUGGAUUGUUUUUUACUUUAAUUUUUUGUACUUUAUUUCUUUUUCUACUAUCCCUUUUACGUGUCAUUUCUUGCAAUCAAUGGCCAGUCUCUACCAUGCUAAUAAGAAAGGAAAUUUAUGAGCCAGUCUUAGGAAAAACUAUAUUCUUGAUGAUCUUUGUGUCACAAGGCAAGUUCACACUCUUAGCAUGCUUUCAAACUUAUGGUCUUGCACUUCAAUGUGCUUGCCCCACCCCUAACUCAACAUGGUGCAUUAUCUGACAUAACAUCAGGCUAGCAUCUCAUUUCUAAAUGCUCUGCUCCUCGGCUGCUUCUUACCCAAUACUCCUAUUAUUGCAAAUAUGCUGUCCUUUUGGAUCUAUUUUUGGCACUAUCAGUUUGCUUAUUUUUCUUCUUGCAAACUCUUGAAGUGUGAUUUACCUUGAGCUUGAGGGGCUAUUUGAGAAAGAUAAUACUAUAUUUUGUUGUAUUGUAUAUAGUGUUCAUCAGUUACAUGUUUAACAUUUGACUGCUGUUGCAUAUACGAUGAUACAUGUUCUUUAUAUGGAUGUCUAAUUGGAUUUCAUAUAUCCUCAGAGAAUGGUAAUACUGAUAAAAGGAAAUGUUAAUUAUUUCAGGAAAGUUGUGAUAUCCAUUGAUAAGAAACUAAGAUGGUGCAAUAAAUUGAAUAAUUAAUGAAACAAGGAAACACUUUAACAUUGUUGGACAGAGUGAUAGAACCAAGUUUAAGAAAAUUGUAGCAAUUUUAGAGAAUCAGACUUGCGUAUGCAAUUGAUAAAACAAAGCCAUUCAUGAGAAAAUAAUUAAAUCAUUACUACUUGCAGAGAGACAAGUUAAAUUCCAGUUUUGCUGCAAGCCUGCACCAAGAGUUGGCACUUAGAUGACAUUGCUGUAUGCAUGUUACAAAUGAAUCAUGACAUUUAGUACUAUUUUUGUUUGCUGUAUAAUCUGAACAUGGUGAAUGCCGUGCUAUUUACGGGGAUGAUGUAAAAAAGGUCUAUAUUUUGUCACUGUGAAGAAACUUUUUCAAGUAUAUUAGCUAACUUUAUGACCUUUUGGAAUGGUUGUUAACCUUUCCAUAAAAUUUUAUAAUAUAGGAUUAAUGUUACAAGACAUAUAUUUUUUUUUAAUUUUAUGGCCUCUUAUUGUAUAUAAUAUAGUGUGUCCUUACUUAGACUUCCUAUUCAGCUAUUCUGUUAGCCCACCAUAUGCUGGAACUUUAUUUUUGAUAAGGCAUGCUAGCUAAUUUUAAGAUGUUUUGGAUUUUCAGAUGCCAUUUCCAUAUGAUUAGUGUUAAACCUUGUGCUGAACAUAUUUAUAGUUAACAUCGUGGGCAUAAUGGGAUAAAUAAUUGUACACUGCACAUAACUAAAUCAUGACCAAAGUGUGUAUAACUGUGCAUAUACGUACACACACGUACAUAUGUGUAUAAGUGUAGCUGCAUGAGCAACAGAGAAGUCCUAGAUCUAUAUAUUUAACAAAAAAGUCUGUGGAUCUAUUAGUGCAUUAAUGCUCGCAGUCCCUUUGCAAGAUUGUGGACCCCAAGCAUAAAAAGCUAGAGGGAAAAAACAAAGCCUGUUUUUGUUAGCAUAUUAUUGGCCAUCCAAGGAAAACUAAUGCCUGAUGUUGUUAAUUGGCUGAAACAUGAAUGUACAUAUUGAUACUAUGUGAUGCACGUGAUUGUGGGCACCCAAGGUAUAAGGAGUCUGUAGCAUGAUGAAUACCUAAAAAUUUAAAUAAAACAUAUAUUAUAAAUUAAAUUAUUGCUUUUAUACUCUUUGGUAUAAGAGGCAGUUUUGGCUGUGGUACACAAGGCAGGAAGAUUUAAGAUUUUGUAGGAGGUAGAAUUUGAUCUGCCGAGAUGCUGAAAAUUAUUCAUUAUGCACUGAAUGGUCAAGAAAUGUUGGGACUUUCAUGUUUUACUAAUCCUUAGGGGGGUAUUGGUGCCUCCUGCUUUGGCUGAAUCUAGGAGGUGGCAAAUGUUUUUGUCCUCCUUACCAUCCAUAAGCAUUAAGCAGUUUGAUUAAGAAAGAACAGUGCAAGUGCCUAAGGGAGAAAAAAGAAUGACACCAAUUAAUGCUAGACUUAUCAUUCCACCUAUUCUGAAUCCAAAAGAAAAUUUAGGCAGGUUGAGGCGCAACAAUUUAAAAAAAAAAAAAUCAAAGAGAAACCGUUCAAAAACAAAGAUAAGAAAGUAAGAAUUAAGCUAUGUUAACAAAGGGGAAAACUAACCAAAGUUAAAUCAUAGUAUGCUACAUUAUAUACUAUUUCAUAAGAAAUUAGUGGCCAAGAAAAGGGGAAAAACUUGAAAAUUGCUCACCAUUGCUUGAUUGUCAAAAGAGCCUCCUCAACUACUCAAAGUGCAGAGUGCACAUAAAUUUUUAAUGGGAAAGGUCUGUCGCUUAGUGGGCUUGUCCCUUCUUAUUUGUCAACUUAUUUGAUCUAUCUUUUUAUUCCUUACAUGUUUGAAUGGGGCAUCUGAUUAUGAGAUCAAUGUUGCUCCUUGAUUAUCUUUUUGUGAGUUCAGUAUUGUAGUAAUGAAUAUAGUGAGAAAAAUGGUACGACACUUUUGGAUUAAAUUAUGCAACACUAACUAUCUAAAUUGGCAAUAGGAAUUUGGUGCCAUUUUCAAAAGAACUAAUUAUCAAUAUUUUAGAAGGUGGUUGUAGCAUGUGGCUGACCAACUGACCACCCAAUGCUUAGGUGGAUGCCCAAACAGAUUGUGACAGGAAAGUUAACCAAACUUCACGGAUAGUCCAAAAUAGCUAGAUAACACACAAUAACUCUAAAGAAAUCAAAGGAACAAUAACUCUAAAGAAAUCAAUAACACACAAUAACACACAAUAACUCUAAAGAAAUCAAAGGAACAAAAAAAAAAAGAGGAUAACUUCCAGAACCAAAGUUUGCCAUUGUAGUAUCGGAUCAUGUACUGGUACAAUCCUAUUACAGUGUUCGUUUUUGGUAUACUAUGGGAUAGCGAGGCAUAUUGAAUGUCGAUACAGUAUGAAACUACGUACUGGUUCGGUGCUGGUAUGAUAUGGUACCAAUUGAUAUGGCAAAUCUUGUCGAGAACCAUGUAUACAUUUAUCUCAAGACCUAUUUUAAAAGAGACAAAUUAACUAGAAAAGAAUACAAAUUUCCCAACAAAUAUGAAAUAAUAUCAAAUGAUAAUAGACGAUUAAUCAAUGUAGAAAUAAUCAACUGAAAAAAUGUUCGAAAUUUGAAUUACGUUUGCACACCAAUUAGAAAUACAAGUGAAAUUGUUAUCCAACUUUUAACCCUCCAACCCUUGCUUGCUCAAGCCUAACCAACCUCUUUAGGUGUCAUGCUAAGUGAUUGAUCCAUGUGUAGGAGCUGCCUAGGUGGCAGUCCGUGGACCACGUAAGCCGGUCAGCCACUUUGUAAGAAAGUGCUGAUUGUGUUAGAUAAACUGAUUGAAGGCUAACUUACAAAGCCACUGUAUUGAGCAAUUUAUUAUUGAGUGUGGCUUAAAUUUGAGAUGGCCCACAUUACGAAUCCGAUCCAUUUUGGAUUUUGUUGGCCCGUUUGGGUAUUUUGAUCUUUUCUUUUUAUUUUCGGAUUUGGUGGCUAUAUAUAUUGUGGUUACACCUAUUAUUUAAAGGCCGUCUUUUGUUAUUUGGGCUGCCGUAUACUUUUGGUACUCCAUCUUUUUGAUAUAGUGAAAUCUUUCCCCAUCUUCGCCCAUAGACGCAAGCCAAAGAUUGAACCACGUAAAUUGUUGGGUCCUAUUUUUUUUGCGAGUGAUUGUUUGUUAUUAUUUCAGAUUUCACACUAACUAAUAGAUAAUCUUGCAACAUUUAUCAACAUUUCAUUUCUUGUAGACUUGUUUGAUAACUUGCCAAUGUCCUUAAUGACUUAGUUGUUGUGACUCAAUCUAGUUUCCCCUUUCAAAGAAAUCAAGUUAUUAGUUUUUUAGGGAGCUUAUGCUGAUUAAGGAAGGUAUAAGUUUCAAAUUUAAUGAUAAACAGUAGGCAUUUGAGAUUAGAGUUUGGUAGACCUCACUUCCCACCUUAUCUUUCGCUGGACCUUGAAGGCAAAUAUUUGGGUCUGGAUAAUUUAAACUAAGAGGACUUGGACUUGUGCUUAUGCUUUUCAAGGCAAGUUCCUGAAAGAAAGAUGAGUAGAAAGUGACCAACAACUUUUAAGAAUGAUAGUAACAAUGAGUUGAAGGCUAUAAUACCUAGUUAUGCUACUCUUUUCUCUUGGACUAAAGGUUGCUGCUAUAUAUGGUACUUAAUCUGCCUGCAUGAUACCAUUGUUACGAAUGCACAGCUCACCCAAUGUUUCCUUGGCUGCCGAGAAACCAAGAUUGCUUUUGUGAGAGAUGCUUGAUGUAGGUCCAACCAACUUCCCUAUGAUAUUGAUAUACCGAUUUCAAAGUGCCUAGGAAAGAAAGGUUUAAAAUGAAUUAGUCUAAUUUGAGUGCAGCAAAUAAAUCUGAUCUACAAAUUAAUUGCUAUACUGCUAACCUGGAGACUUUGCAUGGAAGGGGAGGUAUCGGAACACCUCAACUCUCCCUAAAACCUUGAAAAUAGAAAAGAAGGGCUAGGUUUGUACGCAAGAAGCAAGCUAAAUUAUGCUUAUGUAGAAAAUUAAGCAAAACUAGGAAAAGAGGAGAUCUACACUAUCCAGGGAAACAAAAGGCUAGGAACCAUGGCCUUCUUCAAUUAGGCAAACCUUAAUUUCAAGAAGUGUGCUCUUGAAAAGAUUCAAAACUCCUUUGAGGCUUUCUGUGACUUGCUAGCAAUCUCUGGAUGGUUCCUAUCUCCUUUGAGGCUUUCUCUGGAUCUCUGUGAAAGGCCUAAGCAUGAUCAUCACUAGUGGAAUAUCUCACUUCUCUUUGAUCUUUUAAACAUAACUAUCAAAAACCUAUUUGUAAUGGUUUAGAUUUUGUUCAUCAUAUGCCAUAGGCGGGUGAAUCAAGGCGUUCUCUCUAGCAACAUGAUAGUUUUCUUGGUAACCUGGAGACUUUGCAUGGAAGGGGAGGUAUCGGAACACCUCAACUCUCCCUAAAACCUUGAAAAUAGAAAAGAAGGGCUAGGUUUGUACGCAAGAAGCUAAAUUAUGCUUAUGUAGAAAAUUAAGCAAAACUAGGAAAAGAGGAGAUCUACACCAUCUAGGGAAACAGAAGGCUAGGAACCAUGGCCUUCUUCAAUUAGGGAAACCUUAAUUUCAAGAAGUGUCCUCUUGAAAAGAUUCAAAACUCCUUUGAGGCUUUCUGUGACUUGCUAGGUAUCUCUGGAUGGUUCCCAUCCCCUUUGAGGCUUUCUCUGGCUCUUUGUGAAAGGCCUAAGCAUGAUCAUCACUAGUGGAAUAUCUCACUUCUCUUUGAUCUUUUAAACAUAUCUAUCAAAAACCUAUUUGUGAUGGUUUAGAUUUUGCUCAUCAUAUGCCAUAGGUGGGUGAAUCAAGGCGUUCCCUCCAGCAACAUAAUAGCUUUCUUGGCAGCUUAAUUGCAGUUAACCUAUUUAAUUCCAUUAUUCAAGCACUGCAUAAAUUUUUUGACCAUCUGCUUUUUUUUUUUUGGUACAAGAGCAGCUCAAAUGAUCAAGAUACAAAAUAUCCCGCAGCCCAAAUGACCAUUUGCUUAGAACCCAAAAAUUUCUGACGAUCCAGUUUGUUCUCCUGCUUUAGUCACUGUUAUGAUUUAGAAGAUAUGAUAUGAAAGUAACUCUGCUCCUCAAGUAUUUCGUAUAAAGUGACAUUCAUUUGUAUAAUUUGGUUCUUAAAAGGCAAGUAAUAAAAUUUUUGGGCCAGUUUUAUCAUAACUUUUAUUUGUAAUGAUCUCACCUCGGUUGUAGCUGCGAUAUGCUCUAUAAAGCAAUCUACUUUGAUCAUUGGGUUUUCCUUGUACCACUGGCUCUUGGAGCCCUUAAUAUUGAAAGUUGGCUCCAAUGGAAGAUUGAUAAUAGGUUUUGCAUGCAACUUAAUUAGUUCAUCCAUGUCAAAUUUUUCUGUUUAUCUGUUGCAGAUCUGUUAUAGCUUGCUUGAGUACCUUACUGGAAAACAAACUGCUUGUGCUGUAACUGAAACAGAAAGAUUCGAUGAGCCGCUGAUUGCUCUCUAACUGCUCUUACCGCUUCUUUUCUUGACCUCUGCUCACUGCUGCCAAUGCUGUGACUGCCGCCCAAGGAAAGGAGAGCGAGGGAAAGAGGGGUCAGCCCUUGGCCCGAUCAUCCAAUUUGCCCCAACAGAGAGGCAUGGUUCAGUAGUCAAUGCAACUUCGUCACUUUCAUGUACCCAUACAGGUUUAGUUUGGAAGAUCAAGCAUCUAUUCUUCAGUUCCUAGGGCCAGAUUAUGUAAAUGUUCGAGGAUCCAUUUUUGAAAGGAGAUCAAGAUUUUUAUGCAUAUGGAAUCAGGGGCGGCUCGACAUAUAGGGUGGCCUAAAGCUAAAUUGAUCAUCGCACCCUUCCAUCUUCUUUGCCACCGCUCAGCCAUUAGGAGCCCGGAACUCCCCUACCAUCGGAAGCCUGGAACUCCGCCGCCACCGGAGACUCCCCUCAAGCAUGGAAUGUUUGCCGUCGGAGAUCGGGAGAUCCCCUCAAGCUAGACUACUAUCGUCGGAUGGGUCCACAUCCUCUCCAUUGACGGUAGUGUUGCCAGUGCCUCCGAUGGCCUCCUCAUUAGUGUCACUCUCGCCCACCUUGAGGCCUCCCUCUGCAAGCUCUUCGGCAAUCUCACCGCUCGAAUUGCCGACUUCUGGAUGGCUGAAUGCGGUGGAGAUAGAUGGCAGAGGGGCCUGGGGGCCUAAAAUAAGUAGAGGCCUAAAGCAAGCGCUUUAACGGCCUUACCCUUAAGCCGGCUCUGUAUGGAAUGGCUUCUUGGUCUUGAUGAUAUGAUAUACUUUUACCAUUCUUUUUGAUCUACGAAGAAUAUAUGUUUAUGAAACCUCUCAGUUAUUAUAAUUUAUGCUGGUGAUUUUUUUGGUAUUGUGGAGAUAAUAUUUGGUAUCUAGUUCAAUGCAAUAGAAAAUAAUUUAUAACCCUUUUAGUCUGAAUACAUGGUAUUGCUAUUUUGCAGCAUAUUAGCCCUUAAGUUGAUUUUAUCAAAAAAGUAUAAUUUUUCUCACAUCUUGAGACGAACAUAGAACAUUAUUUUGAGCUCUGUCUAACUUCUGACAGUUUGCUGGAGAUCGCCAAAAAUGUAUUUGUUCUAUGAACCACACUAGUUGUGGAACUAAUUAGUUGAUAUCUUGACUCCUUUGUUGGUCUUAGAAGUUUAGUUUUUCAUAACUGCAGACUAAUCUUUAUUUGUCUAACCAUCAACACUAUAAUAGUUUGGUAUGUCUCUUAAAUUUUUUUGUGAGAAAAUGAUGCACUAGCAAGUUUUCUCAGGAUAUCGACAACAGGUACUGAUGCAAAUGGUUUACAUUUCAACUGCUCAAGCACACAAUUAUCCUGUAUCUGGCUUCCAGUGGCAUCUGGAGAGAAGGUACGAGGUACAAGAGACUUGAUCAGCUCAUUUAGAUGAUUCAGAAGCUUUAUAGAGUUUUAGCUUGAGACCCUAUAAAGGCAGUUCACAGAGAAACGCUUUUGAGUGGCGACUGCCAAUGAUUCUUCAGCCUGAAAAUGCAGUUGGAGUAACUCAAAACAUGGCCAACUAUUUCAUCAGGUUAUGAUGGACUUGGUCGAUUUCAUGUUAAUUUUGUUGCUUUGCAGUUCUAUGCAUUAUGCCUACCUUUUCAUCUCACCAUUGUUAGGAAAAAGAAAAAGCAUGAUGACACUUGAGAGUGCUGCAUUUCUUUGGCUUUUUGGCUUAUUAAUGCCUUAGAAAAUAGCUUUCUUCUUGGCCAUUUGCUUAGACUUUUUUCCCAGUCCAGGGGAAUUUUGGAAGGUUGCUUGAGCUUGAGCUAUAAUUAAUAACGUAGAUUUCUGCAGUUGCCUUGGAUAGGAAUUUGGAACCAAAGAGUUGAUGUUAUCUUAACAUCCGGUGAAAAUAAUCUACUCGGGCUCUUUUUGGGAAGUUCCUGCCGCAUCCAGCUGGAUCGUCCUGAAGAGAGUACAAGGGUGGGAGAGGGAGGAGCAGGAGCCCCAAGUGUGGGGGCGGGUGGGGUGGAAUAAUUGGAGCAGGUGCAAUAAUUUCUCCGGUGUCUUUUUUCUCCCUCUUCC